UACGAAGGGGGCUAGCGUUGUUCGGAAUCACUGGGCGUAAAGGGCGCGUAGGCGGCUGUUCAAGUCGGGGGUGAAAUCCCGGGGCUCAACCUCGGAACUGCCUUUGAUACUGCAAAUCUCGAGUCCGGAAGAGGUGAGUGGAAUUCCUAGUGUAGAGGUGAAAUUCGUAGAUAUUAGGAAGAACACCAGUGGCGAAGGCGGCUCACUGGUCCGGUACUGACGCUGAGGUGCGAAAGCGUGGGGAGCAAACAGG
rnacentral:rRNA from 1 species